CGCUGGCGGCGUGCCUAAUACAUGCAAGUCGAACGGUCUUUCUAUGGAAGCUUGCUUCCACUGAGAAGAUAGUGGCGAACGGGUGAGUAACACGUGGGUAACCUGCCCAUAAGAGGGGGGAUAACAUCCGGAAACGGGUGCUAAUACCGCAUAGUUUUCUUGAUCGCAUGAUUGAGAAAGGAAAGACGGCCUUUGUGCUGUCGCUUAUGGAUGGACCCGCGGCGUAUUAGUUAGUUGGUGAGGUAACGGCUCACCAAGACGAUGAUACGUAGCCGACCUGAGAGGGUGAUCGGCCACAUUGGGACUGAGACACGGCCCAAACUCCUACGGGAGGCAGCAGUAGGGAAUCUUCCGCAAUGGACGAAAGUCUGACGGAGCAACGCCGCGUGAGUGAAGAAAGGUUUUCGGAUCGUAAAACUCUGUUGUCAGAGAAGAACAAGUUGGAGAGUAACUGCUCCAGCCUUGACGGUAUCUGACCAGAAAGCCACGGCUAACUACGUGCCAGCAGCCGC
rnacentral:rRNA from 1 species